rnacentral:rRNA from 1 species
CAGCAGCCGCCGCGGGAAUACGUAGGGUGCAAGCGUUAAUCGGAAUUACUGGGCGUAAAGCGUGCGCAGGCGGUUAUAUAAGACAGAUGUGAAAUCCCCGGGCUCAACCUGGGAACUGCAUUUGUGACUGUAUAGCUAGAGUACGGCAGAGGGGGAUGGAAUUCCGCGUGUAGCAGUGAAAUGCGUAGAUAUGCGGAGGAACACCGAUGGCGAAGGCAAUCCCCUGGGCCUGUACUGACGCUCAUGCACGAAAGCGUGGGGAGCAAACAGGAUUAGAUACCCGCGUAGUCCCUGUCUCUUAUAC